rnacentral:rRNA from 1 species
CCUACGGGUGGCAGCAGUGAGGAAUAUUGGUCAAUGGACGAGAGUCUGAACCAGCCAAGUAGCGUGAAGGAUGACUGCCCUAUGGGUUGUAAACUUCUUUUAUAUGGGAAUAAAAUGUUCCACGUGUGGGAUUUUGUAUGUACCAUAUGAAUAAGGAUCGGCUAACUCCGUGCCAGCAGCCGCGGUAAUACGGAGGAUCCGUGCGUUAUCCGGAUUUAUUGGGUUUAACGGGAGCGUAGGUGGAGUGUUAAGUCAGUUGUGAAAGUUUGCGGCUCAACCGUAAAAUUGCAGUUGAAACUGGCAGUCUUGAGUACAGUAGAGGUGGGCGGAAUUCGUGGUGUAGCGGUGAAAUGCUUAGAUAUCACGAAGAACUCCGAUUGCGAAGGCAGUUCACUGGACUGCAACUGACACUGAGGCUCGAAAGUGUGGGUAUCAAACAGGAGUAGAUACCCGAGUAGUC